AACGAACGCUGGCGGCGUGCUUAACACAUGCAAGUCGAACGCGAAAGGGACUUCGGUCCUGAGUAAAGUGGCGCACGGGUGAGUAACGCGUAGAUAACCUGUCUUCGUGUCUGGAAUAAUACGCCGAAAGGUGUACUAAUACCGGAUAUUCUUGCUUUAUAUAAGUUUUGCAAGCAAAGGUUGCCUCUGCAUAUGCUACCGCAUGAAGAGGGGGCUGCGUACCAUUAGCUAGUAGGUAGGGUAAUGGCCUACCUAGGCGACGAUGGUUAGCGGGUCUGGGAGGAUGAUCCGCCACACUGGCACUGGAACACGGGCCAGACUCCUACGGGAGGCAGCAGUGAGGAAUAUUGCGCAAUGGGGGCAACCCUGACGCAGCGACGCCGCGUGAGUGAGGAAGGCCUUCGGGUCGUAAAGCUCCGUCAAAGGGAAAGAAGUGCAUGAUGGCUAAUACCUGUCAUGUUUGACGGUACCCUUAAAGGAAGCACCGGCUAACUCCGUGCCAGCCGCCGCAGUAA
rnacentral:rRNA from 1 species